rnacentral:tRNA from 1 species
GUACGUGGUGGCUGGCCAGGCUUCAAAUCCAUACCCUGGUGGU